rnacentral:snoRNA from 1 species
CAAAUGAUGAAAUAAUUUGGUCCGUGUUUAUGAAAUUUUAUGAUUUUGUAUAAACCUCUUUAUCUGAUUUAA